AACGAACGCUGGCGGCAUGCCUAACACAUGCAAGUCGAACGAGAACUUCGGGUCGAGUGGCGACCGGGUGCGUAACGCGUGGUAAUCUGCCCUUAGGUUCGGAAUAACUCCCCGAAAGGGGUGCUAAUAUCGGCUAAUGUCUUCGGACAACAGAUUUAUCGCCUUUGGAUGGGCCCGCGUUGGAUUAGCUUGUUGGUAGGGUAAAAGCCUACCGAGGCGACGAUCCAUAGCUGGUCUGAGAGGAUGAGCAGCCACACUGUGUCUGAGACAGGGCCCGGACACCUACGGGAGGGGGCGGAAGGGAAUAUUAGACAAGGGGCGAAAGGCUGAACCAGCAAUGCCGUGUGAAUGAUGAAGGCCUGAAAGUUGUAAAGCUCUUUUAACCGGGAUGAUUAUGACAGGACCGGGAAGAAAAGCUCCGGGUAACUCCGUG
rnacentral:rRNA from 1 species